AGCGCGAAAUGGAGCUAAAGCAUUGCCAAAACUGCAGUCUGGGCACUGCGUACCGAUACUGUUAAGGAUUUUAUAGGUUGGCGGAUUUCGUAAUGUUGAAUGGAGUCUUGAAGAGUUGAUUGCGGAAGAUUGAAGAAAAGAUCUAAAUUGAAGAAUAAAGACUCACUCGUAAAGUUCGGCACCUAAGGUAUGAAGAAAAGAUCAUUUGUGGUGAAGAUACUUAAUUAGAAUAAGUUCAGAAGGCUUAGAUUGCUUUAAAAAUAUUUUACUGAACUUUUCUGUGUUCAGGGA
rnacentral:lncRNA from 1 species